rnacentral:rRNA from 1 species
UCGACGCRCGAAGUUGAAGAGCUUGCUCUUURACCAAGUGAGUGGCGGACGGGUGAGUAACACGUGGGUAACCUGCCCAUUAGAGGGGGAUAACAUUCGGAAACGGAUGCUAAUACCGCAUAGUUUCAGGAAUCGCAUGAUUCUUGAAGGAAAGGUGGCUUCGGCUACCACUAAUGGAUGGACCCGCGGCGUAUUAGCUAGUUGGUGAGGUAAUGGCUCACCAAGGCAAUGAUACGUAGCCGACCUGAGAGGGUGAUCGGCCACACUGGGACUGAGACACGGCCCAGACUCCUACGGGAGGCAGCAGUAGGGAAUCUUCCGCAAUGGACGAAAGUCUGACGGAGCAACGCCGCGUGAGUGAAGAAGGUUUUCGGAUCGUAAAACUCUGUUGUUAAAGAAGAACAAGGAUGAGAGUAACUGCUCAUCCCCUGACGGUAUUUAACCAGAAAGCCACGGCUAACUACGUGCCA